CUCCCGGUGAUGCAGUGGUUAGCACGCGCCAACGGAUAGGGUAAACACGGGUUCAAGUCCCGCCCGAGAUU